rnacentral:rRNA from 1 species
GAUGAACGCUAGCGGCAGGCCUAACACAUGCAAGUCGAACGGCAGCGGCACUUCGGUGGCCGGCGAGUGGCGGAUGGGUGAGUAACGCGUAUGCAACCUACCUUUCACAGUGGGAUAGCC